AAGAAAGCGAAACAGAAAAUGUCGUUUUAAAAUGGAUUAAAUCGAACAGAUUACUAAGAAACUGAUGUGGGCUUAUUUUUCCAAUAGAAAAAGCAAGACAAAACGACCGGGUUUUCCUCUGUUUGAAAAAAAUUUCUUCUCGAUCAAACUAUACGGAGAAAACGAAAGAAGCCGAGUACGAGAUGAUUAAGACAGCUGCAGAGUUAGAUGAUAAAAAGAUUGCAACAAAUCGCACACAGUAAUAACAGGGCUUGAAGGUAGAAGAAAUUGGUUAUAGCAACCCGAAAAAAAAAGCGGAAUAACGAUCACACGGCACACAAUAGAACGAAAUUAUAGGGGAGCAAAGCAGAGUAGGGCAAAGCAAAUCACGUAAAUAC